AUUGAACGCUGGCGGCAUGCCUAACACAUGCAAGUCGAACGAGUGGCGAACGGGUGAGUAAUGUGUGGUAAACCUCCCGUUGGGGGGGGAUAACCACUUGAAACGGUAUCUUAUACCCCCUACUCUCCGAUGUGCCCAGAUGGGAUUAGCUAGUAGGUGGGGUAACGGCUCACCUAGGCGACGAUCCCUAGCUGGUCGGAGAGGAUGACAAGCAACACGGGAACGGAGAAACGGUCAAGAGUCCUAGGGGGGGCAGCAGUGGGGAAUAUUGCAAAAGGGGCGCAAGCCGGAUGCAGCCAGGCUGCGUGUAUGAAGAAGGCCUUCGGGUUGGAAAGUACGUUCAGCGAGGAGGCGUUACUCGCAGAAGAAGCACCGGCUAACUCCGUGCCAGCAGCCGCGGUAAUUC
rnacentral:rRNA from 1 species